rnacentral:rRNA from 1 species
UACAGAGGUGCCAAGCGUUAGGCGGAAUCACUGGGCUUAAAGCGCGCGUAGGCGGUUUUCCAAGUCGGUUGUGAAAUCCCUCAGCUCAACUGAGGAACUGCAUCCGAUACUGUUUGUCUUGAGGACGAGAGGGGAGAGUGGAACUUCUGGUGAAGCGGUGAAAUGCGUAGAUAUCAGAAGGAACGCCGGUGGCGAAAGCGACUCUCUGGCUCGUAUCUGACGCUGAGGCGCGAAAGCUUGGGUAGCAAACGGG